rnacentral:rRNA from 1 species
UACGUAGGCAGCAAGCGUUGUUCGGAGUUACUGGGCGUAAAGGGUGUGUAGGCGGUUGCUUAAGUUUGGUGUGAAAUCUCCCGGCUUAACUGGGAGGGUGCAGCGGAAACUAGAAUGCUAGAGGGUGGGAGAGGUAAGCGGAAUUCCUGGUGUAGCGGUGAAAUGCGUAGAUAUCAGGAGGAACACCUGUGGUGCAGACAGCUUACUGGACCACUUCUGACGCUGAGACACGAAAGCGUGGGUAGCAAACAGG